GCCGCCACCCGUCCCGGGGCUCCGCCCGCCCGGCCCCGCGCCCCGGGGGCGUCCCGGCGCCCGCGGGCGUGUGCGGGGGCUGCGCCCCGGAUGCCGGGGCUGCACAGGGUGCCUAAGUAUCAGCGGGGAGCCCCGGCGGACACCCGCAAGCCCAGGUCCUCCCCCUGCGGGUGGCGCAGCCUCUGGCAUCCCCUUCCCGAGCAAGCCUGGGGAGCUGUGGCACGGCUGAGCCCCGCCGCCCCGCUUCCCGAAGCGUUACCCUGCCGGGGAGAAGGGGUUUCACGCGGCUCGGUGCAGAGGGGCGGGUGUGCGGGAGGGGUUUGCCCAAGGACCGAAAGCGUAGCAGUCUUGGGAAAGGCUGAGCAAAGGACUGCGACAGCAGGGUCCUGGCACAGGUUACUGUGACCCAAACUGAUGAAAUCCACAGCGUGUUGUCAUUCUCCCUCGUGCAGUGGCCUGAAGAGGAAAUCUGAAACUCCUGAAACUCUGAAACUCUCUUACAGACUCCCUGCUUCUGUUUUCCUGCCUAUACAACAAGCUCAUUAAGUCCAGUCUAUAAAAGCUUGCUGCUGUUGAAAUGCAUAUUAGCUUCUCUCCUCCCAGCCCAGCUUCUGCACCUGAGUUCAGAAAGUGCUGCCUUCAGAAAACGAACCCGGGAAGUCCGGUUCCUUUUUCACCGCGAAAUGGCAGGAGACCAUGUUGUGCAGCAACAAGUCUGAAAUAUUGCUAAGUGUACUAUAAAGGAAAUUUCUUAUCAUGUUUUCUUACCUUUGAUUAGUUAAUGUCUGCAAGGAUGAAAAGUAUUUCUAAAAGAACACAAGAGGAGCAUUUGUCAUUCUAAGACACAGCGCUGCUGUGUGUGUGCUUUCCUUGGUUUUUUCAUCAUAAAAGGUCUAACCUUUUCAUACUCAUUUUAAACUGUGAGGCCAGGAAACCAAUGAAACCAUCACAAGUAAUUUAAUUUGCAACUGAGCCUAUCUUGAAGUAAUGUCUUCUAAAUGAUGUCAUCAAAUCACUGGCUUGCUCUGUUUGUUAUGGAAGAUCUGUCUAGCUCAGUAGCUCCUAAAGUUACAGAACAAGUGCAAAUGCUAGGACAAGAAGAUGGACUUCACUAAUUUUACAAGGGAUUAAUCCUUCUUGCAUCUGACCAUUAGACAAAAUCCUAGCUCAGAAACAUUCAGUCCUUCGGAAAACAGAACUGGGUCAGUGUCUGAACUGUGUGGUUUGGCCCAUCCUCAAGCAGUUUUUCACUCUGCUGUGCUUGGCUUCUUUUUGGGGAAGGGGCUGAAAGCUCCAGAGAUUCAAAGGGAAUGAACUGUUCCCUGUGCACUAAAUGCAGGCUUCUGCAGUAAAAACAAGUACCGAAUCUGGAAUGAACUGGAGAACUGGAAUGAAGUGUUUUCUUUUUGCUUUGA